AUUGAACGCUGGCGGCAGGCUUAACACAUGCAAGUCGAGCGGGGUGAUGGUGCUUGCACUAUCACUUAGCGGCGGACGGGUGAGUAAUGCUUAGGAAUCUGCCUAUUAGUGGGGGACAACAUCUCGAACGGGAUGCUAAUACCGCAUACGUGCUACGGGAGAAAGCAGGGGAUCACUUGCGACCUAGCGCUAAUAGAUGAGCCUAAGUCGGAUUAGCUAGUUGGUGGGGUAAAGGCCUACCAAGGCGACGAUCUGUAGCGGGUCUGAGAGGAUGAUCCGCCACACUGGGACUGAGACGCGGCCCAGACUCCUACGGGAGGCAGCAGUGGGGAAUAUUGGACAAUGGGGGGAACCCUGAUCCAGCCAUGCCGCGUGUGUGAAGAAGGCCUUAUGGUUGUAAAGCACUUUAAGCGAGGAGGAGGCUCUUUUGGUUAAUACCCAAGAUGAGUGGACGUUACUCGCAGAAUAAGCACCGGCUAACUCUGUGCCAGCCGCCGCAGUAA
rnacentral:rRNA from 1 species